rnacentral:rRNA from 1 species
GGGGAAUCUUGCGCAAUGGGCGAAAGCCUGACGCAGCAACGCCGCGUGGGGGACGAAGGCUCUCGGGUUGUAAACCCCUUUCAGCAGGGACGAAAAUGACGGUACCUGCAGAAGAAGCCCCGGCCAACUACGUGCCAGCAGCCGCGGUAACACGUAGGGGGCGAGCGUUAUCCGGAUUUAUUGGGCGUAAAGAGCUCGUAGGCGGCUCGGUAAGUCGGGUGUGAAAUUUCAGGGCUCAACCCUGAAAAGCCACCCGAUACUGCUGUGGCUAGAGUCCGGUAGGGGAGUGGGGAAUUCCUGGUGUAGCGGUGAAAUGCGCAGAUAUCAGGAGGAACACCAGCGGCGAAGGCGCCACUCUGGGCCGGUACUGACGCUGAGGAGCGAAAGCGUGGGGAGCGAAC